rnacentral:lncRNA from 1 species
GUGAUUUUUGGGUGAUUGGUUACAUGAUGCUGGGUUUGGCAUUGAAGAUGAGGCUCUCCUUGCUUUAAGAAAAGACAAAAAUCUCAAAGGAAAAGUGGGAAUAUCAUGUAAUGAGACGUAAGGACCAGGGAAAAGAACAAAAGAACCAGGACAAAGAAAGGAGGGAAGACCUGGAGAAUAGGCAUUAGAAAGGAGGGCAAGAAAGACAUGGAAGCCCCCUCAGUUGGAUGGGGGCUCAGCCGGUGCUUAUGCUUCCGAGAAAGCCCACAAGGAUGUUGCGAAUCUGGGGGAGCCACAUGCUCUUCACACCAAAGCUGAGACAGGCAGCUCUUGCUGGUGCCCUUACAACACACCGCGUGUAACAGAGCCAGUCAUCCCGGGGGCCGCUCUUCCAUCCUGCUAUUUGCUAACACCUUUAUUGCCUCCAGUUAGUUACUCACACCGCUCUCAUUCCCAUCUGUCAAGGAGAGCUCCCUUCCAACAUUCUGUCCUUCUUUGCUUCUACAGAAGAGAUCCUCCCGGUGUGAUUGCAAACCUCAGAGCUGAUACAGAGCUUCGAGAUGAGGCAAGUUUGGAGUGGGUAUCUGUACCUUAAGGCAACAGAAGAAGAACAGAGAGUCAAGCACAACCCAGAGUUCCAGUGCCAAAUGAGUCAGUAUGUGAAUUAUCUGCAGUGAAGACUCACCUCAAGACAAGCCCAAAGACCCCCCUGCAGGUAGGAGAGUCCGAGUGUUGUGACGUGUGGCCAAGCCCCACACCCCAUUUCUGAGCUGCUGCAGCCACACUUGAGGUCAGUGGGAGGGCAGUGGGCACUAAAUACCUUUGCUGCCUCUCCCAACAAUCCUAACUCAGCUGACAAACGAAGACCUUGCUCCCAGAGGCAGUGGAAGCCUGAUGGAUUCUCUACAGCUGCCUAUUGUCUCUGGCAAUAUGACCUCUUUUGGCAUGAUUGUUUGAAUUGAUGAUAACAUUUUUUUUUUAAGUUCUUACUGAAGUUUUUACUCUUAAAAAAAAAAGAGCAAAAAUGAACAAAGAGUAAAGUUCACCCAGCACACAAGAGGUCUCCCAAAAAGUCCUUGUUCUCUGUCUUCUUUCUCUAUACAUUUAGAAAAAAAAAAUAGAUCUGCAUUUAUCUGUCUGAUAUUUUUCCUUUGGUUGGAGGCACCCCGCUGGCAAGCAGAAGUCAUCUUUGGUGAUUAAGUAGAAUAUCUACCCAAGUGCCAGGAGCUCCAGAAACCUUAAUGGCACUUUGGCAAGCAUGGCAGCAGUAAUUGUACA